UACGUAGGUGGCAAGCGUUGUCCGGAUUUACUGGGCGUAAAGGAUGCGUAGGCGGACAUUUAGGUCAGAUGUGAAAUACCCGAGCUUAACUUGGGUGCUGCAUUUGAAACUGGGUGUCUAGAGUGCAGGAGAGGUAAGUGGAAUUCCUAGUGUAGCGGUGAAAUGCGUAGAGAUUAGGAAGAACACCAGUGGCGAAGGCGACUUACUGGACUGUAACUGACGCUGAGGCAUGAAAGCGUGGGGAGCGAACAGG
rnacentral:rRNA from 1 species